rnacentral:rRNA from 1 species
UACAGAGGUCCCAAGCGUUGUUCGGAUUCAUUGGGCGUAAGGGGUGCGUAGGCGGCGCGGUAAGUCGGGUGUGAAAUCUCGGAGCUUAACUCCGAAACUGCAUUCGAUACUGCCGUGCUUGAGGACUGGAGAGGAGACUGGAAUUUACGGUGUAGCGGUGAAAUGCGUAGAUAUCGUAAGGAAGACCAGUGGCGAAGGCGGGUCUCUGGACAGUUCCUGACGCUGAGGCACGAAGGUCAGGGGAGCAAACGGG